UACGUAGGGUGCGAGCGUUAAUCGGAAUUACUGGGCGUAAAGCGUGCGCAGGCGGUUCGCCAAGUCAGGUGUGAAAUCCCCGGGCUUAACCUGGGAAUUGCGCUUGAAACUAGCGGGCUUGAGUGUGGCAGAGGGGGGUGGAAUUCCACGUGUAGUAGUGAAAUGCGUAGAGAUGUGGAGGAACACCGAUGGCGAAGGCAGCCCCCUGGGUCAACACUGACGCUCAUGCACGAAAGCGUGGGGAGCGAUCCGG
rnacentral:rRNA from 1 species